GUAGAGGAGUUCAUGGCCAAAGAAGACAACAACUUUCAAAUGAAAACAGAGCAACCUUAGUUGAUCAUGUCAUCAACCAUGGGCUGACAAUGCGAGAGGCUGGACAGAGAGUGCAGCCCAACUUGAGCCGUUUUACUGUCGCCUGUGUCAUCCGGACAUUUAGACUGGAGUACAGGACUGAGAGACGCAACCAUGGUGGAGGAAGGGGCCAAAUGUUCACCGGGGUACAGGAAGCUGCCAUUGUAAACUUGGUUUUGGAAGAUAAUGAAAUUAGAUUACGAGAUAUUCAAAGCCACAUCAUCCAAGACAACACCAUAUUCAACAACAUUCAACGAGUCAGUCUGUCCACAUUGGCUCGCAUUCUCAAGCGAAACCAAAUCAGAAUGAAACAACUUUAUAAGGUGCCGUUUGAGAGAAACUCUCAAAGAAACAAAGAGGUCAGACGAGCAUAUGUGGAUGGAGUACUGGAAAUGGAUGCUCAUGCAAUCCCACAUGAGUUUAUCUUAAUAGAUGAGGCUGGAUUCAACCUAACAAAGACCAGA